UAAAAGUUGCAGACAGAAGCUCUUGACGACUGGAUCACAGGUGUCAAACUCCAGUCCUCCAGCCGCUGUCCUGCAGUUCCUAGAUGUGCCGCAGGUGUGGCGCAGAGGCACAUCUAAAAGUUGCAGGACAGCGGGCCUUCAGGACUGGAGUUUGAGACCCCGGCUGUAGAUCUACUGAUUGAGACUUUGAAUGGUUAGGAGAGAAACCGAGAAACCUUUGAAGUUCAAGGUCAGUGCUGGUUUGAGAGUUUUGAACAGUUUUGAGCAUUACUACUAACAAGCAGACAGAAACAUUAGGACCAAUAAGAACUGCAAGUCAGGAGAAGAAUGCAAGAAAGAGAUGAAGAGGGAAGGAGAUGACCAAGUUGAGAAAGAGGAAGUAGGUAACAGACAAAAUGAAGAAAGAGCCAGGAAGAGGAAGUGUGAACCAACUGGCAAGAACAAAAAGAAAAAUACUUCUAGAGUCUUCCUGAAGUCACUGAAGAUAUGCACCACAGAAUGACAUAGAGGAAGGGGCCGGAGAAACACGGAUUUCUGAGGAUAAAGGGACAUGGCUGCUGACAUUUGAUAGCCAGGAGUUCCUCCUGCACACACCCACCAAUCUGAAAGAGAUGUACUUCCAACUCACUCUGUCAGGUCUUCCUCUGUUCUUUAACCCAAAAUUCCUCUCCUUGUUCACCCAAACACGCCUAGAAUUGCUUUAUUAAUUGUCUUUGAUUAGUUCAUAUGUAAAAUCUGAUUUAUUUGCUCAGAUUAAACAUAUUUUAACA